rnacentral:rRNA from 1 species
UACGAAGGGGGCUAGCGUUGCUCGGAAUCACUGGGCGUAAAGCGCACGUAGGCGGCUUUGUAAGUUAGAGGUGAAAGCCCGGGGCUCAACUCCGGAAUUGCCUUUAAGACUGCAUCGCUAGAAUUGUGGAGAGGUAAGAGGAAUUCCGAGUGUAGAGGUGAAAUUCGUAGAUAUUCGGAAGAACACCAGUGGCGAAGGCGACUUACUGGACACAUAUUGACGCUGAGGUGCGAAAGCGUGGGGAGCAAACAGG